CACGUAGGGCGCAAGCGUUGUCCGGAAUUAUUGGGCGUAAAGAGCUCGUAGGCGGUUUGUCGCGUCUGCUGUGAAAACUCGAGGCUCAACCUCGAGACGUCGGUUGAAACCGUGUGGCUAGAGUCCGGAAGAGGAGAGUGGAAUUCCCGGUGUAGCGGUGAAAUGCGCAGAUAUCAGGAAGAACACCCGCUGGCGUAAAGG
rnacentral:rRNA from 1 species